AUCCUUCCACAGAUCUAAAGAAAAGUUCUCGGCUUUAAAGGGGAUUCUGUUUGUUUCUGCGUUGAUCAGAUCGGUAGGAUCUGGGUUCUCUAGUGGACCGAGACAUUGGAGGUGUGGUUGAUCAGUAGGAAUGACGAUUCUAUUGGACAGAUCCUAGAUGUUUUUGGGGGUAAAAAGAAGAGCAGAAAAGAAAAAAAAAGA
rnacentral:lncRNA from 1 species